UACGUAGGGCGCAAGCGUUAUCCGGAAUUAUUGGGCGUAAAGAGCUCGUAGGCGGUUUGUCGCGUCUGCCGUGAAAGUCCGGGGCUCAACUCCGGGAUCUGCGGUGGGUACGGGCAGACUAGAGUGAUGUAGGGGAGACUGGAAUUCCUGGUGUAGCGGUGAAAUGCGCAGAUAUCAGGAGGAACACCGAUGGCGAAGGCAGGUCUCUGGGCAUUAACUGACGCUGAGGAGCGAAAAGCAUGGGGGAGCGAACAGG
rnacentral:rRNA from 1 species